CGGGGUGAGUAAUGUCUGGGAAACUGCCUGAUGGAGGGGGAUAACUACUGGAAACGGUAGCUAAUACCGCAUAAUGUCGCAAGACCAAAGUGGGGGACCUUCGGGCCUCUUGCCAUCGGAUGUGCCCAGAUGGGAUUAGCUAGUAGGCGGGGUAACGGCUCACCUAGGCGACGAUCCCUAGCUGGUCUGAGAGGAUGACCAGCCACACUGGAACUGAGACACGGUCCAG
rnacentral:rRNA from 1 species